rnacentral:lncRNA from 1 species
GAAUGUGGUAAAAAAUAAAGCUAUGGGCCUAUGGACGAUAUGGAUAUGGGUGAAGUUAUGCUAGUAAUAAAUUAACAAAUAAACAAAGUUUCCCCCCAUGCUUCAUGACCCAUGGCAAUUACCAAUGAAGUUCUUGUAAUGAUCAUAUCAUUACUUUCAUGACUACUAGUUUGUAUGUGUUAUGUUUAUGUUUAAUAAAUUAUGGAGUGUUUUUAUGUUGAAAAAUAUCAAGUACUACUUUGAUUGUGAUAGGUUUAUAUGUUUAUGUUUGAGGAAAUUAUUUCAAAAAUGAAAAUCACAUAAACCAUGAUUUGUACUCCGUUUCAAUUAUUGAUGUUGUAGAAACAAAUAACUUGGUCUGCAGUUGCUCAAAACAGUUUUGUUUUAUCUUCUGCCGGAACAAAAGUUGGAUAAAACUAGAAAGUUGGUGAGUCAAAGGGACAAGUAAAGGGAGAAUGAAUACACAAUAUUUGAGUUCAACUAUUUGCUAAAGCCCAAUUUUUACAAACCACUCCUCCCAAAUACUUUACAUUACAUACAAUAUCUCUCUAUAAAAGUCUAAACAAGGUGUGUCUAACACAUCCUUAAAAUAGCUAAAGAAUAAGUCAAUCAACAACCUAUUUACAGGCUCUCCUUCAACGUGAAUAUCGAUAGCUAGAAGAUGAGUCUUUAUUACAUGUUUAAAUGCUAAAAAUUAUCUUCAUAAGUUAUCUUAGAAAAAUAUUCAAAUAAAUCUCUCUAUAAAACAACCUUCCAUCAACUUGAAAACUCUUAAAAGAUAAAGGAUAAGGAUACUUCUUUCUUUCAUCUCCAAGGCUGUCGGUUGAACGAGGAUAAUUGCUCCAUAUUCUAUCAUGAAAUUAUCUCCUCGUUUGCUGGUUUAAAUCAGAUGUAAUCAAGGCUCUUUAUUGUCAAGAAUCCCAACCUGAAUGAACUUUCACUGAAAUAUGCACAUACUCUAAAAUAUGUCUAAAUAUUUGAUGAGACAAGAAAAGGUUCUAAAAUUGGUUUGAAUGGUCAAAUGCUCUAACAUAAAGCUUAAAAAUUUACAACAAAAUGACAUAAAAAAAAUAACAUUGAAAUUUGAUUUAUAAUAUUAGAAGUUUUGAAGAAGUGGUAAUUAAAUUAAUUAUUAGAAGUGGGAGAAUGAUGCUGGAGAAUCUGUCAAAUUUGAAACUUUUAGUAAGCUAUAAGGCACCAAAACUCCUACUUUUGCGUCGUUUUUAUUGUUAAAAAUUACUCACAAUUCUUUUAGGUAGCGUUUGAGAGUUAAAGGAUUUUAGAAUUUGGAUUUGAAUUUAAAAAAUAAUGCAAAUUGAGUACAUUUAUGUUUAUUUAAUCUAAGCUUUUGUUAGAAGCCUAUUUAUUAAUAAAUUUAAAAUCUUAAUUUUUUUUUGAAUUUGAUAAAUCCAUGCUUUUUUUUUUAAUAUAUAUUAGAUUGAAUUUUGACUAAUCUAUCUAUAAUAUAUGCGUUUCAUUCUUACUAGAGUUGUUCACGGGUCGGGACAUAACAAAAUUUUAGGUCCAAUUACUAGGCCUUGAUCUGACCCAAAAAAUGGGCUUAGAUUUUUCCUAAGUUGACUCGGAUAAAAAUGUAAAACUUGGACCCAGUCUGUAUUAAUUUUUUAAUUUAAUUUUUAUAUAAAUAAAUUUAAAAAUAUAAUACACCAAAUACAUUAAAAAUAUUAAAAUAAAAGUUUCCUAAGAAAUUUAAAAAAAAAUUAAAAAAAAAAGUCUUUAUACUUAAGUAACACUAAGAUAAGAGCAACUUAACAAGCAAAUGUUUCUAAAAUAGUAGCAAAAUUAACAAUAAAACAAGUAUUAUACAAUAUCCAAAUAUUAACAACAAAAUAAUAACAUAAUAGUGAAAUGGUAGCAAAACAGUGGGAAAAUAGCAGCAAAAGCAGUAGGUUUUUUUAUUGAAAAUCGGGUUGGGUCGGGUCGGGCCAAAAAAUCUUAUUCGAGGCUCGACCCGUUUUUCAAAUGGACUUUUUUUUUGUCCAAGUCUAUUUUCUGAGCCUAUAUUUUUUUUCUAAGUCCUCUCAUUUUUCGAGCGGACCUGACCCAGCCCAUAUACAACUCUAAUUCUUACCAUUUAUAUAAUAAAUGAGAUCUAAAUCCAAAUUUUCAAAUUCUGAAUUUCCAGAAGGAGGAUAAAUAUUUUAUUUGGAAUACUCCUCAACCAUCAAAAGCCCUAAAGAAAAUUCUAUCUUACAAUAUUUUCUAAAUUUUUCCUUCCAAGUUUCUUCAAUGUUACAUCAAUAGCAAGAGGAAGGCAAAAAACAAAGUUCAAGUCUUUCAAACUCUUCUAAAAUAGCAUCUUCAAGAUCUCCUGUAUCGAAAAGGCAAUUAUAGGGAGCCUCAACAAGUAAUGUUCUUGAAGUUGUUGAAAACCCAAUUGAUCCUCCACUAAUUAAAAUUGAACCUACUACUUGUCUAAAGGUAUUUGUUGCUAUGAAUCCUCAAAAACCUCUAGUACAUGACUUUUUUAUUAUUAUCUGAUUUAUUGUUCUACUUCUAAAAAACCAUGAUUGAAGAUUGAAAUCUCUUGGACACAAAGCAACAACAACUAAAGCAGUAGAAGAAGCCUUUGAGCACGUGCACACACACAAAAAAGAAAAACAACUGAUUAAGGAAAGACUUAUUCCAUUUCUAAUGAUAAUGUCCCAUUAUCAGACUUUGUGUCUAAUUAAACUGCCACGUAUAUAUAUAUAAAUUGAAAAGAGUAGGUGUUACUAAGUUAUUAAAAGAAUGUAGAUUGUACUUCUGAACUAAAGAAGUCAAAGUUCCUAAAUGUUAUUUGUACAAAAAAGAAUGAAAAUAAUGGUUGAUACACAUAUUAUAUGUUUAAAGCAAAUUAAUUUUUAUUAAUUUUUAAACUUUAUAUAAUUUAUAAAAAUCAUCUUGAAUUAAUAUGGACAAUGGGUUUUCUAGAUUUACAUUGUACAGGACAAAAAAAAAAUUUCAAAUUCAUUUUGGACUUCACUUCUAAAUGGGCUUUUAUUAAUUUUUAAUUUCUUUUUAAUUUCAUUUAAUAUUUUUUAUAAAUUUUAAUAAUAUUUUAUAUAUUUAUAAAAUUUUUAAAACAUUAAAACUUUAUAAAAAAAUUUAUAAUUUUUUUUUCUUAAAAUAAGCUUUGGAAUGAAUGAAUAUAGACAAUUGUAUGUCCAAAGUUAUUCUAGUAAAAAAUUUAAGUAUUCCUUUUAAUUUUUUAUUUUAUGAAAAUUGUAUUUUGCUGACAUGGCACAAUCUAAAAAUUCCAUACGUCUAGCACUUAACACCAUUACAAAAAUGAUACUAAAAUGGAAUGAAAAUUCGACACUAACUUACGAAAAAAUCAUAAAUACCAAUUUAAGAGAAAGUGACAAAUUCAAGAACUAAAUGAGUAUUUAAACUUAUUUAUAUUUAAAUCAAUUUAGACAUGCAUUAAAUUUCUAAUUGUGUUUAAAUGAUAAGAAAUGAAAAAGAAGAUAUAAAAUUUUGAUCGAAAAAUAAACAUAAAAUAAAAAUCACUUACAAUUAUAAAUAAAACCAUUGAUAAAUGUAUUAUGUUAAAUUCCAGGAUAGAUGAAAUAACAGAAAUGAGGUUGAAGCAUCAUUGAGCUCUCAUACAUUGAAUCCUUGAUCACGACGCUUGUGCCUCACCCCAAGGCCUGACGCGCGUCUGUCGCCUUGCACCAAAAGAACAAAGGGCGUCUCUUCUCUCCCCUCCAUUGACUUUGCCGAUGUCUGCAAAAAAAAAAAAAAAGACAAAGAAAGAACACAGAAACGGCAAGACAAUAGCAGCAGAAACAGUAACAAAUUUGAAUAAUAAACAGUCUAAUAUGGCUAUAAAAGUCAUUACGUAUUAUUUUUUACAGGCAAUCGAAUAAAAAAAACAGAGAAAUAAAUAAAAGAGAAGAUUUCAAAAAAUAUAAAGGUAGUUAUAUAUAUAUAUAUAUAUGGUUUGAAAAGCUAUAAUAAAUACAUAAAAAAUAGAGAGAGAGGGGGAGGAUUCUCACUUGUCGUUCCACCUUUCGCCACCGUCGAGGACAACCUUCGGCACCUCAAAUGUCUCAUAACCCAUUAGGGUUUUGACUUCCGACGAAGGUCUGGAACGUGGCGCGACUGAAGGUUUUCCUUCGUGAUUCUUUUUCUUUUUUUUUAUUUCAAAAAAUAUUCGGUUGGAUCUGUUUUCUUUUAAUAACUUUUAGAAAGGGACUAAAAGUAAUUUUUUUAUUUUCCGGCCACGAAGGAGGCACAGUGGAGGCUCGCCGGCAUCCGGGCCGAAGAUGGGGAGAACCGAGAGAGAAAGAGAGAACUCUCAGGUUUUUUUUAAAAAACAAAGACAUAAUGAUUUUUUUUAAAGAUUUUUAGCUUUUAUAGGAGAUGUAAAACGACGUCAUCUAGGGCUGGUUUCAAUAGCACGAAAACGGCGCCGUGUUGGCCUUCGACCUGAUUGCCUGUUCCAAGACCUUAGGAUCCGCGUGUUUUUUGUGACUAGGGUAUAAUUGGACAUUAGUCCUUCCAAUUUUUAAGCAGUUUCCAAUGUGGUCUUGUUUCUUUUUUAAUUUAACCAUUUGAUUUUAUCUUAAUUUCAUUUUUGGUCCUUGGCCAUUUUAAGAGAGGGAUACCUGAAACAGAGUCGUUUCAGUUGACUCGAGACCCAACCUGAGAUCCGACCCGAUCCUUUAAUAGGAUCCGCGUGUUUUUAAAAAAGGGGCCUAUUUGCGCUUUCAACCUUCUUCCUUUUAAGUCAUUUUAAUUAGGUCCUAAUUUCACUAUUUUCUUUUUUAGAAAGUUUCCAUUUAAUUUUACACCGCUUUCAACUAAGUCCUCGAAUCGCUGAAGGUACGCGUGUCCUUAGGAUUGGGAUAAUUCCUCAAUUGGUCCUUGUUUGUUUUCACACUUUUCAUUUUAGUAUGUUAUUUAUUUAUUUAUUUUAUCUUAAUUCAUUCUUUUAAUUUAAUUUAAAUGACAAUUAGACCCUUUAUUUAUUUUAAUUCUUUUAAUUAUUUACUUGUUUGCUUAUUUAUUAUUCCUUCACUUUUGGUUUAUGUUUAAAAUUGUAUUUCUUAUUAUUUUCUUUUCAUCGAGCAUUUAUUUAUUUAUUCAUUUUAUUUUAUUAUUUAUUUAUUUAUUUACUUAUUAUUCCUUUGUAUACAUGCAUAAGAAUUGGAUUGUGCAUAUGCUUUUAUUGGUACAUUUUUGUUUAUUACUAUCAUUCAUUGUUUUAUUUUUAUUUUUAAGCAUGUUAUUGUUAUUUUAUUUCUCUCAGCAUUUUUAUGUCAUGUCCAUUUAUCUUUUUAAUCAUGCAUCGUCCAUUUUUUAUUUACCUUAAAAUACUUCAUUUAAUCAUUAUUACUAUAAUACGAUUAUUAAUAUUAAUAGUAUUAUUAUAAUUAUGUUAUUAUAAUAAUAUUCUUUUAUUUCACUUAUUAUUUAUUAUUCUAUCUACAUAGUUGUUUUAAAUUAUCUCAUUUUCACCAUAUCAUACAUUAAGGUUCAAACAUUUAUCCAUUUGUAUAUCAUGCCCGAAUAAAUUAAAAACACAUCACCUUAAGUGUUUGUUUUUUUACACGAUGCAUAAAAAAAGAAUUUUUUUUAAACCGAGGCAAAUGUUCAUUAUUUCGAAUUUAGAAAAGUUGUGUUCCUAACGUACAGAAUAUGACUUCCUUCUAAAACCGAGAUAGUUGAAUAUUUAUUUUAAAAUAAAUAAAAACGAGAUUUAAGUAAUGAUCAAUUGGUGUUUAUUCUCGUUUUCGAGGUUUUAAGGCAUUGUGUCCUAACACACGGGACGUGAUCCUUUUUCUCGAUUAACUUGAAAUAAGCCCUUCUUGAGAAAAUUACUUUGGUUAGAUAAUGCCUUAAUACAAAAAGGAUCGUGUUUUAAACUCUUUUCAAAUUUUCAAUUCACAACACUAAGACAUUAAUAAAUCAACUAGGUACCAAUUUUGGGUGUUACGAGGGUGCUAAUCCUUCCUCAUGCAUAACCGACUUCCGAACCCAUUUUUUGAAUCUUGUAGACAAAAAAUCAUUAUUUUAGUAAAUCAAACCAUUUAUUAAAACGAUCAAAUUACGAGGUGAUCCAAUCACACACACCUCAUAAAAAGGGAUCGGUGGAGACUCCCAUUUUCGUCUUUUUCUUAAAAUAAAAAAGGUCGAUCUCAAAAAAGGUUUCGACAAUCAUAUUAUCUCAUAAUUAGAAUCCACAAUAUUGAUUCAAGUUAAAAUGUCAAGUCACUAAACUUAUCAAAAAUUCAUAACCAUAAACAACCCUUUGUUCAAUUUCUCGUGUUCUCUCUCUCUCUCUCUCUCUCUCUCUCUCUCUCUCUCUCUCUUUCUCUCUCUAAACAAAGGAAAUGAAAUAUUUGUCUAGGGUGUUGCUAAAUUUUUUUACACGAAUAAGGAUGAUAACCUAAGCACCCCACGAAAAUAGAUGACAACCCAAACACCUAACUUCUAAGACCAGUGGAGUAAGUGAAUGGCUUAGAACAUCACUCAAUUUUUUUACACGAAAAUAGAUGACAACCCAAACACCUAACUUGUGUUACUCAAUCGAUCACAGUUUUAAGAUUAUACUUUUAAUCUAAAUAGUUAGUUGGGUAUUUGUUGAUUUUUUUAUUUUUUUUCUUUUAUUUUUCAAUUUUAUUAAAGUGCCUUUAUUUAAUGUUGUUGGCUCUACAAGGUCCAUCAUUCGUUCAAAUCAGAUUUCUAAUCCUAUUUCCUCUCACUCUUGAAGUUUCAUCAUUGGGCAUUCUCUUUUCCCUUUGUACUUGAGAGGCUUCAGUGCCUCCAUCUCAUUGACAACUUGUAACAAUAUGAUUUUAAGUGGUAUCAAAAAAUGUGGUUUCAAAAUUCUAUUUUUAUAAAUCGAGUCUGCAAAGAUGAAAUAUAAAAAUUAAUGAAAUUAGUAUAAAUAUAUAUUGAAGUUCAGUUAAGUAAUUUAAUCGAGAAAACUAUUAAUUAAAACUUAAGGAUUAAAUUGGAAAAGUUCAAUCGCUAUUGAGUUUUAAUUUAAAAAUACUUGAGGACCAAGAUAACAAUUAUUUAAAGGACAAAAAUGUUAAUAAACCAACUUUAAUCAUGAAAUAGUGGAGAAUGAUGAUUGCUUACACUUAAAUUAAUUUAUGAUUAAAAUGUGUAAGUUAAUCUCUUAAUUAACUAAAUCAAACAAGAUUAAUUAAACUAAAUUAACAUUAAUUAAAGUGUAUAUAUGUGUGUAUUUUAGCGGAAGGAAAAAUGAAAAAAACAUCCUCAUCAUCUUCCUCCACCGUCCACCAAAGUAAGUAAGAAAGAAAUGCUUCAAACCAUUCCAACAUUUGACUAUUAAUCAAGUAAGCUCCUUAAGCUAUUUUUAUUUUUAUUUUUAUGGAAUUUGAAUCAUGAGAGCUUGAUUCAAUUAGCCUGUGUAUCAAUUUAUUCAAUUUUUUAGUUUCUAGAAUUUUUCCAUUAAAAUGAAAUUGUACUUUCUAACAGACGAUUUUGAAUUCAAAUUCUGAGUUUGAAACAAGUGUUUUCGAACUUACAUUUUUCUAACAUUUGUGAGAGUUGUGUCAAAUAUUAUGCUUUUGAAACGCAUCCUAAGUGAGAUUAAGUCAAAAAAUUUUAAACAAAUUAAUAUAAUCGCUUAAAAUCUAACCAUAACAUCUAAGUCGGGUUUAAAAUGUUACAAUAAUAAUAUAAAAAUUACAUGUAAAAAUUAGCAUAUAUAUAUAUAUAUAAACAAUGACACCGUAAGUGAAAAUCUAUCUUUGAUCCUAACAAUUGUCGAAUCCACGUGAAACAUGGGAAAAAAGUAAGAUGAUGGUAGCAUAAAUGACAUCAAUGAAGUGAGGGCAUCACUUUCUAAAUUUAUAAUCUUUGGUUGCUUUUUGGUGAAAGCAAAAUCUGCACUUGACUUGGGGUCAAUAUUAUAUAUUAUCCUUUGUAAAUUAGAUAAGUAGAUGUCAUGAAAGAGACAAUAGCAAUUAUUGCUUUCUUUUUCUUUUGUGGAAAAUUUGAUCCUAAAAGCAAAGUUACUGCACUCAGUGGGUAAGGAAAUUGGGUUAACCUUACUUUCAAAUUAAUAAUUUAAAUAAGUAUGUGAAUUUGAGAUUUUAUUGUAUAAAAAAUUUAAUUUCACGUGAAACAUGUAAAAGAGAAAAAAGUAGGAUGAUGGUAGGCAUAAAUGACAUCAAUGAAGUGAGGGCAUCACUUUCUAAAUUUAUAAUCUUUGGUUGCUUUUUGGUGAAAGCAAAAUCUGCACUUGACUUGGGGUCAAUAUUAUAUAUUAUCCUUUGUAAAUUAGAUAAGUAGAUGUCAUGAAAGAGACAAUAGCAAUUAUUGCUUUCUUUUUCUUUUGUGGAAAAUUUGAUCCUAAAAGCAAAGUUACUGCACUCAGUGGGUAAGGAAAUUGGGUUAACCUUACUUUCAAAUUAAUAAUUUAAAUAAGUAUGUGAAUUUGAGAUUUUAUUGUAUAAAAAAUUUAAUUUCAUAAUUAAAAAUAUUUUAUUUAAAUAUAUAUAAAUAUAAUUAUAUUAUAUUAGUAAUUUUUAUUUUUUAAUAUUAAAAUUAAUUAUAAAUUUAUACUUUUAGAUCUAAUCGGGUCAAAAAUAAAUAUUAUUUCAUAAUUUUUACUUUUUCAUCACUAAUGUUCACUUUUACUAUUUUCAUUUAAAUAUUUUUUUAAUCCACAAAAGACUUGAAAUUGGGCUAUAAAUAGGAGUGGAGAGAGGAGAUGAACUCAACCUACUUAGCUAUACUCCAAAAUGAAGCCACUGUUUCUUUUAGUUUGUGUUCUCUUAGCUUCCUCUUUCUUUAUUCCCAUUUCCGCCAUGCCUAUCCAGGACCAGCCCUUGGGUAAGAUUCAGCAGCGAGUCUUUAUGUUUAUAUAUAGGACAUCCACAUAUAUAUAUAUAAUUAACAGUAUGCAUGGAUGGAUGGACAUAAUAUAUGAUUGUUGCAGGUGGUGAACGCAAAGGAAAUGAAUGUGGUCGUGGAAUCAAAUGCAUACCAAAGCCAACGCCACGGCCUACUAAGUGUAAAAGAAACAAUCCUUACUGCAGGCCUCCCUGAAUGUGGUAAAAAAUAAAGCUAUGGGCCUAUGGACGAUAUGGAUAUGGGUGAAGUUAUGCUAGUAAUAAAUUAACAAAUAAACAAAGUUUCCCCCCAUGCUUCAUGACCCAUGGCAAUUACCAAUGAAGUUCUUGUAAUGAUCAUAUCAUUACUUUCAUGACUACUAGUUUGUAUGUGUUAUGUUUAUGUUUAAUAAAUUAUGGAGUGUUUUUAUGUUGAAAAAUAUCAAGUACUACUUUGAUUGUGAUAGGUUUAUAUGUUUAUGUUUGAGGAAAUUAUUUCAAAAAUGAAAAUCACAUAAACCAUGAUUUGUACUCCGUUUCAAUUAUUGAUGUUGUAGAAACAAAUAACUUGGUCUGCAGUUGCUCAAAACAGU